UACGGAGGGUGCAAGCGUUAUCCGGAUUCACUGGGUUUAAAGGGUGCGUAGGAGGGCAGGUAAGUCAGUGGUGAAAUCCCCCAAGCUUAACUUGGGAACUGCCGUUGAUACUAUCUGUCUUGAAUACCGUGGAGAUGAGCGGAAUAUGUCAUGUAGCGGUGAAAUGCUUAGAUAUCGGGAGGAACACCAAUGGCGAAGGCAGCUUGCUGGGACGGUACUGACGCUGAGGCGCGAAAGCGUGGGGAGCAAACAGG
rnacentral:rRNA from 1 species